rnacentral:tRNA from 1 species
GCAGCUUUAGCUCAGUUGGUUAGAGCACCAGAUUGUGGAUCUGGGGGUCCCCCGUUCGAGCCGGGGAAGCUGUA